UACUGAGAAUGGGUAGCAGUCACUUUGUACUAUGAGUAACUGCAACAUCUCUCAGUAUU
rnacentral:pre_miRNA from 1 species